AUGCGCACAUGGAGGAAGGAAGCCCUGCAGGCGGAGAAACCAUCUAGAGAACCUCUGAACACAGCCAGAGCUGAGCGAGCUGAAGCUGAAUAUCAGUGUGUAUAGAUGUUAAAGCAAGGAAGAUCGAUAGUAGACAGCAGGAAGAACUUCCUGGUGAUGUUGCUGAUGAUGGAGCUGGAGGCUGGGCUGGACGAUGGUCCGAGGACAGCGACCACCCCCUUGGGGAGGAUCUGACACACUGCAGCCAGCGGCAGGGACAGGGAAAGAAGCAAAGCACUCAUCAGAUACAAAAUCAACAGAGAGAAAUUAAAGAGCAGAGUCAAGAUUCAACAGCUCCACCCAUUUCCCCAAAGACCGGCCCCUUAACCACUGCACCGCACAGCCAUCCCCAGCAAAUGGCAAUUAACUGGGAUGUUUGUAGAUUGCCUUGGCCACUGGAACACUGAGUUAUUGUCUUCCCUUUUUUCAUUUCACUACUUUCUAUAAUGAGCAUGUAUUCCUUUUUAUAACAUAUUAUAAAGAAUACAAUGCUAUAAUAAAAACAUUCUUCUGAUGAGCAAGUAAAA
rnacentral:lncRNA from 1 species